UACGUAGGGUGCAAGCGUUAAUCGGAAUUACUGGGCGUAAAGCGUGCGCAGGCGGUUCGCUAAGACAGAUGUGAAAUCCCCGGGCUUAACCUGGGAACUGCAUUUGUGACUGGCGGGCUAGAGUAUGGCAGAGGGGGGUAGAAUUCCACGUGUAGCAGUGAAAUGCGUAGAGAUGUGGAGGAAUACCGAUGGCGAAGGCAGGUCUCUGGGCUGACACUGACGCUCAUGCACGAAAGCGUGGGGAGCAAACAGG
rnacentral:rRNA from 1 species